CCAGUUGCUAGCAGGCAACAAAGUGAAACAGUUCGAGUCCGUUUUUGGUGUGCAGUUAGCCGGCUCAGCAACCAAGUCCAAUUCCAAGUGCGAGUAUCAAAUGUCGCGUUGCGAUGCUUUACUAUUCACCGGUGAUAGUUAGUAAUAGGAAAUUGUGAUAGGCCGCAUAAUAAAAGUGUUCACUGAAAGUAAAAGAUAAGAGUGUUCACCGAAAGACAACUUCAAGAACUAAAUUCAGAAUUGAAGUCCAAGCACAGAACUCGCAAAAAACCAGCAACUUUUCGGCUGAUUGCCGAGCGGCUCAUUAGGAAAAGUUUAUAGGCAUGUGUGACUAGAACUUGCGGCAAUUAGACGAGACACUAAAAUCGCUUACAAAUGUUAAGUGACAGACAUUUUCGCGGAAAAUCUAACGAGCAAGAGCAAGUAAAGGAAAAGCAA